AGCUUGCUCUUAUGAAGUUAGCGGCGGACGGGUGAGUAACACGUGGGUAACCUACCCAUAAGACUGGGAUAACUCCGGGAAACCGGGGCUAAUACCGGAUAAUAUUUUGAACUGCAUAGUUCGAAAUUGAAAGGCGGCUUCGGCUGUCACUUAUGGAUGGACCCGCGUCGCAUUAGCUAGUUGGUGAGGUAACGGCUCACCAAGGCGACGAUGCGUAGCCGACCUGAGAGGGUGAUCGGCCACACUGGGACUGAGACACGGCCCAGACUCCUACGGGAGGCAGCAGUAGGGAAUCUUCCGCAAUGGACGAAAGUCUGACGGAGCAACGCCGCGUGAGUGAUGAAGGCUUUCGGGUCGUAAAACUCUGUUGUUAGGGAAGAACAAGUGCUAGUUGAAUAAGCUGGCACCUUGACGGUACCUAACCAGAAAGCCACGGCUAACUACGUGCCAGCAGCCGCGGUAAUACGUAGGUGGCAAGCGUUAUCCGGAAUUAUUGGGCGUAAAGCGCGCGCAGGUGGUUUCUUAAGUCUGAUGUGAAAGCCCACGGCUCAACCGUGGAGGGUCAUUGGAAACUGGGAGACUUGAGUGCAGAAGAGGAAAGUGGAAUUCCAUGUGUAGCGGUGAAAUGCGUAGAGAUAUGGAGGAACACCAGUGGCGAAGGCGACUUUCUGGUCUGUAACUGACACUGAGGCGCGAAAGCGUGGGGAGCAAACAGGAUUAGAUA
rnacentral:rRNA from 1 species